UGGGGUGUAGCUCUGCGGUAAAGCCCUUCCCUAGCAUGCUAGAGGCCUUGGGUUCCAUCCCCAGCACUGCAA
rnacentral:tRNA from 1 species